GAAAUAGAACCUGAAACCCUGCACUUACAAGCUGUGGAAGCACAUUUCUUGUGUGACCGCGUACUUUUUGUAGAACGGGCCAACGAGUUACGUUAAGUAGCAAGGUUAAGCACUUAAGGUGUGGAGCCGUAGCGAAAGCGAGUUUUAACUGCGCGUUCAGUUACUUGACGUAGACCCGAAACCGGGCGACCUACCCAUGAGCAGGAUGAAGCGAAAGUAAAAUUUCGUGGAGGUCCGAACCCACGAGCGUUGAAAAGCUCGGGGAUGACUUGUGGGUAGCGGUGAAAUUCCAAUCGAGCCCGGAGAUAGCUGGUUCUCCCCGAAAUAGCUUUAGGGCUAGCCUCAAGGUGAGAGAUACGGAGGUAGAGCACUGAAUGUCCUAGGGG
rnacentral:rRNA from 1 species